rnacentral:rRNA from 1 species
AUGCACAGAGGAAGAGAACGAACUUCAUAUAUCCCUUUUUUACUCAAUCAAGAAACAAGAUCGGACGUGAUUCCGGUUCGUCUCCAUUUUAGUGACACUCUUCUUCAAGCAAGGCAGCCGAUAAGUCAUCGAAGGGUUUGUUUGAAUAAUGGACUGGUAACCAUUACUCAUUUGAAAGUUUCCCACGGUGAUCUAAUAUCUUUUAAAGAAAAUGACGCGAGAACCCGCAGUUUUGAAAUAAGGAGAUCUUUCUAUAUUUGGAAAAAGAAGAGGCAAAUUCCUACCGGCCAGAAUCUGGAGAAGAACAAAAAAAGAAUGGUUCCGCUUACUCACAACUCAGAGGGGAUGCCGCUUACUACUCAAAUCCAAGAAUUGCAAAAGUUGCGUUCUUAUAUGCAAGAAGAAGACUUUGAAAGAACAAAGAAGUUUGGAUCCACAAAAGUAUGCUUAGGCAGUUCCUUCGCUGAGCACAACAGAAUGAAGAGGAAUUUUAAUUCGACCUAUUGCUCCGGAUCCCCGUUUACUAGGAAGAUAAGAAUCAAAAGGAUCGAACUACCUACUCAUUAUUUGGAGGUGAAUCAUAGAACACUAAAAGCUGUGCUAUCUUAUGGACCUAACAUAGGUCACAUCCCUCACGACAUAAGAUUGAAAGAUCCAAACCUUCCUCUUCGGAGCGGAAACGGACGUGGCCAAAACAUAUAA